rnacentral:rRNA from 1 species
UCUACAGGGGGAUAACUGAUGGAAACGUCAGCUAAGACCGCAUAGGUGUAGAGAUCGCAUGAACUCUAUAUGAAAAGUGCUACGGGACUGGUAGAUGAUGGACUUAUGGCGCAUUAGCUGGUUGGUAGGGUAACGGCCUACCAAGGCGACGAUGCGUAGCCGACCUGAGAGGGUGACCGGCCACACUGGGACUGAGACACGGCCCAGACUCCUACGGGAGGCAGCAGUAGGGAAUUUUCGGCAAUGGGGGAAACCCUGACCGAGCAACGCCGCGUGAAGGAAGAAGUAAUUCGUUAUGUAAACUUCUGUCAUAGAGGAAGAACGGUGGAUAUAGGGAAUGAUAUCCAAGUGACGGUACUCUAUAAGAAAGCCACGGCUAACUACGUGCCAGCAGCCGCGGUAAUACGUAGGUGGCGAGCGUUAUCCGGAAUUAUUGGGCGUAAAGAGGGAGCAGGCGGCACUAAGGGUCUGUGGUGAAAGAUCGAAGCUUAACUUCGGUAAGCCAUGGAAACCGUAGAGCUAGAGUGUGUGAGAGGAUCGUGGAAUUCCAUGUGUAGCGGUGAAAUGCGUAGAUAUAUGGAGGAACACCAGUGGCGAAGGCGACGAUCUGGCGCAUAACUGACGCUCAGUCCCGAAAGCGUGGGGAGCAAAUAGGAUUAGAUACCCUAGUAGUCCACGCCGUAAACGAUGAGUACUAAG